rnacentral:piRNA from 1 species
UAAUGUUCUCCCCAUCACUGGGUCCGGUG